rnacentral:lncRNA from 1 species
CUUGAUCAAUUGCUCCAGCAUCAGAUUUCUGAUCCUGGCUAUGGUCAGGAUGUAUUUGAUGCUGCUAGAGACAUCCAACUUGAUCAGGUUCAGUUACAAAGGCAUCUUCUAAGUGAAUUGCAGAAUAAUUCUCAAGCAUCAAGGCACCUGGAUCCAUCACUGGAGCAGAUCAUCCAAGCAAAGAUUAACCAGAGUGCAGUCCAAGGGCAACAGGCUGAUUUUUUGGAUUUCAUGUCGCAAGCAAAGUAUGGCAAUAUGCUUCCUUUGGAGCAUCAGCUCCGUCUUCAACGAGAGCAGUUUCAAGUACAGCAGUUAUCUAGGGCGCUGAGCCAACAAUUAGGAAUAGAGGAGGAUAGACAACUUGCUGGUUCUUUGUCUGUAGAUGAAGUUGGUCAAUUUGUUAGGAAUCCUGGCAUUCAUCCCCAGGCUCAAUCAAUGGAGUUGAAUGGUUCAGAUCUUCACCAGAAGAGGCUUUCAUCUUUUGAAGAGCAAAUCAGCAAUAUUAAAAGGAAUCAAGCUUUGCGGGAGCAACAGCAGCGAGUAACUUUUGACCCCAGCCCUACAGCAUUUGCCAGGUCUGCUCAUUCUGCUGCUGCUCCUGGGAUGAAAGUAGACAAUGUAAAUUCUCUAGAUCUUGCUGAACAUCUCUAUAUGCACUCUAACAACCAACUGGGUCCAUUUUCUUCUGGUAACCACACUUUUAGCCAACAAACUUUGGGUGAUGCAUAUGCAUCUCGUCCAGAUUUAGUCUACCACUCUGGGAAAAAUGAGCAGCUAGAAAAUAGUUGGGGUGGAAAACAGAUGCAACAAUUAAAUCUUGAAGCAGAUUUGCAAAGAAGGGAGUCUGAAGUUGAUUCAAGCACUUGGGCAUCAGCUGGAGGGAUUCAUGAAAAGUCUAAGAAAGCUUUAAUGGACCUUCUUCACCAAAAACUUGGUAUUCAAUCGACAAGGUCAUCAGAAGGAGAUUAUCAGUAUUCUACUUCAUCUUCCAGAGGCAGGGAAAGCUUUUGGCCUGUUUCUGAGCCACAAGCUUCCCAUUUUCCUUUUACUCAUUUCUCGAAUCAGGAAGUUCAUGUAAACAACUCAUAUCUGGAAGGCCCUCAAAAUUCCAAUUCAGGUGCCUUAUUGCAAGAUCAUUUGUUUGGAGUUGCUGCCAGUGGUGGUGUCAACCAGGUGGCUAACUGUGAACGAAUGCCUCAUAAAUCCAAUCCGGGUUCUUUUGCUGAAGAUCAGUCAUUGUUGUUGGGCGCUGAAGAUCUGUCUUCUAGUAGUUAUGCAGAUGCUAGCUUAGUGUCAAAAUCUGCUGUGGAUAAGGAAUUGGGCGAACUGGAGGGGAAGGAGAAGAAAAAUGGAUUGAAAAGCAUGCUUUCAAGGACUGGUUCUGUGUCGGGGUCUGAGGACAAUAUUUUAGAGCAAGUAGAGAUGCCUUUGGACUGUGCUGACCUACAAAGUAGAACCCAUAUCCGUCACGAUUCACUUAGUACCGGUAAUCUUCAAAAAAAAAAAAAAACUCAUUAAAUGGCCUUUAGGUUUUUUUAUUUUUUGUAUGAAUUAAAUCAUAAAAGUGAAAUGGUGCAGGUGGGAAUGGCAGGUUGUACAGUAAUGAAAUUGGAUUAGAGAAAUCUGUAGAAGACCCUCCUAAUGACAGGUGACACUCUUUUCUCUCUAAUGUUGAUGUUGGUGAAUUUUUUUUUUUGUGGGUGGGGGGGGGGAUUUUAUUUAAACCGCCAUGACGAGUCACCUUCAUAAUUGACAUUUGACACGAGUGCACAUCCGACUAACUCUUUUUAUAAAGCCAUCUAAUCUAAAUAAGCUCGUCUUAUUGGUAGGUUACUGUCUGGAGUGCCAAAAGGGGUUGAUAAAGUUGCACAGAUUUCAUCAUCCCAGGAUGUAUUUUCCGAUCAAAACACAGUGCCAUUUGUGAAGCAGAAAAGCCUUACAAGUCAGGCAAAGAGGACAGUAGAAACGGAGGCAUCGGGCAAGAUAGAUGUGAGUAUGAGAAGGACCUCAUCUUAUAAUGAGGCUGCACUGUCUGAAGCAUCAUUCAUGGAGAUUCUUAAGAAGCCGGCUCUUCAUGGGGCAGAGGUCCCCGUGUAUGGCUCUGCUUUUGAGCCACCAUCAUCUGAUGGUGCUUCACAAGCUGGACGAAGUGGCAAGAAAAAAGGGAAAAAGGGAAGACAAAUUGAUCCUGCCUUGCUUGGUUUUAAGGUUACAAGCAACCGUAUUUUGAUGGGUGAGAUCCAGCGUCUUGACGAUUAAAUUCUCUCAUUUACACGCACCAGGUCUUGUUGUACAUUUUCGCUGUAAAUUUUUUUGUUAGUUUUGUUAGGUUAAAUGCUUAGCUUGGGCAAGCAAACAUUUAAGGCGACGAGUUAAUGGGAGUUAAUAUUUGAAAUUCAUCGAUUUAGAUUUUUUCCCUUUUUUACAUAAUUUUUUUUCCUUAUUUGAUAAAAAAAUUGUUUUCUUUAUUGUACUUUCAUUUCAAAGUUUUUAUGGAUUCUAAUAUGUUGGAAACUGAUAAGGUGCGAGUAUUGUGGUUAUGGUUCUCGAUUUCGAAUUUGUUCUACUUUUUUUAAGGUUAGUCUCUUGAGUUUUGCGCGUGGAGGUUGAUCUUCCAUUCUAUCCCUGUGUAUUUUUUUCCCAUAAUCGAAGAGCUUUAAGAAUGCAUAAAUUUUGGGAUAUCAAAAGAAACAACAUGAAGUUAUUUGUGAUCUUAGUAUUCGAUAAUCGACUAAGAUCGUUAUUAAUUUUUAGCUCUAUCUAUAGUGUCAGCAUAGUGGUUACCCUCUCAAAAGGUCUGCUGGACGUAUGUACCGAGAAAUCUCAUCAAUAAAGUUCUGCAAUCAUGAAUGAGCUCCGAGUAAAAUGUUUUCAUUUGUUUCAUAAGAUCAAUAACAACCAAGCUUAACAAUAACAUUGGUAAUGUUCAUUCUCUGAGCGAAUAAAGGUCGGUCCCAAACAACCCAGAGUUGGUCCAUAAUGUUGGUGGUGGCGCCAAGGUUAAAGUGAUUAUCAGCAACCCAAUUGCCACUAAUCAUGUAUAAAGGGCUCUCGUGUUAGUGACUCCUGUAUUAUCAAGGGAGGAGCUGUCAACAAUUAACUUUGAACAAACCUUGUAAGGGGAUUUUGCUUGGCUUGAAAAGAUAAGGGAUAACCACAAUCUAGAUCCAUGGGAAAGAGUGAAGAAUUCCACAGUGAGAGAGAUAGCUUUAGACUGAAUAUUACUAACACUUAAGGUUGUAUCAAAGAUGACUGCAUUUCUAGCAAUUCAAAUGCUUCAGAGGAAAAAAGCAAACAUGGUUAGCCAAGGGAUACGAUGACAAGGAAAAGGUGUUUUGGAAGUUCUUAAGCCAAUAUGAGAAUAUUCCUUCGAACGCUAGAGUUCGAACUCCACCAAAAAGAGUUCACCAUCUUUUGUAGAGCAUCACAAGAAUUAAGGGGAGCAAAAAGACACUCGUGCAGAAAAUCGAUAACGCUUGGGCAAUUAUUUUUAAAACCACCUCCUUCCUGAGCUUUGACAGAAGUUUAUUCUUCCAGCUAUAAAUAUUUUUACUCAAAUGAUCCCAAAGAAAGGAGAACACCUAUUUUUUUUCCUUUCUCACAAGCAAUGGCAACCCCAAAUAAUGACUAUGGUUCAAAGGGGCUCAGACCUCCAAAGAAGAGCACACCAUUUGUCUAUAUGAAAGUUCGGUGUUAGAGCUAAAUAGAAUUCUAGAUUUAUGAUAAUUAAUAGAUUGACCCGAAGUUGCCUCAUAAGUAGAAAGAAUAGUCCUAACGAAUUGGCACUUCCCAUCCUUCGCCUUGAAAAAGAAGAAGUUAUCAUCGGCAAACAAAAGAUGUGAGACACUCAAACUCCCUCUACAAAUAGAAAUAUCAUGUAGCUCUGUAGAAGAAAAUUGAGCCUUUCAGUACACAAAAUAAACAAAUAUAGAGAAAGCAAAUCACCUUAGAGAAGACCUCUACUCGAAAUAAUUAGCCCAACAUCCAACCUGUUAAAUGCCAUAUUAUAUUUAACCCGUCACAUCCCAAAUUUGGCGGAUUCAAGAGAAAGACAUAGUUGUGAAGGUUAUCUGUUUUGGCCCACUUUGGUAGUUAGUUUGCCAAUUUAUAAGCUUCUGGCGAACUAAUGUUUGGCGCAUAAAGCAUCCACCCAUAGAAGUAUUUAAGGAUUUAUUCUUGUAAUAUUCUUCAAUUGAAGAAAGAGUAUGACAAGCAAAGAGUACGCAUCAAAAUGUUAAUUGAGCAUGAUGUGCCUACUAAGUAUAUGUUAAAGUUGUAAGGGACUAAAGUGUCUUUAAGGCCACGCCAUAUGCGAGUUAUCACCAUAGGUAUGGUACGCCAAGUGUGCUCGAAAGAUGUGGAAUAUGAGUUCUGCAAUGUGAUUGGUUGGGAGUCAACUAAGUUAACAGAAUAGUCGCCGACAUCAUACUUGUAACAAUUUUUGUUUAGGUAAGUUCGUAUAUUGUUUAAACUUGUUAUUUGUUACUUUUGGUAACAUGUUAACUAUUAUUCAUGUUAGCAUAGUUUAAAUUUAAUAAUAAAUGACAAUUGGUGAUUUUGUACUAAAUUGUGAUAUUGACUAAAUUAUGAUUAUGUUGAAAAAUGAAAAUUUUAUGGUUGUGAGCUUGUUGUGGUACAAUAAAAAUGAAAAUUUAUUUGGAAAUGAGAAAUGACUUGUAUGAACCUCGUGAAUGCUUAGGAUAUAAAUGACAUGUCAUUAGGGUUAUUAUAGUUCGACUACUGGUCUUGGAUGUCCUACCGAUGGCUGAGGUCCUACAUUUGUUGCGGAUUCUCCACAGCUCAUGUGAGCAGGCCUAUUUCAUAGCUCGUAUGAGCAUUUACAGUUACAGUUACACUUUGUGUGAGCAUUGUUCUCGCGUAUUCAAUGUUAUUUCAUUUGGUUCAUCAGGUCUUAAAUAUGAAAAACGAAAUGGCUAUAUGGAAUGAGACAGUUAAUGGAGAAUUUGAUAUGAAAUAUUGAAACAAAAUGUGAUAUACAAAAUGAUUACAUGUUAAAUGUGUAAAAUGAAAUGGUUACUCAAAAUGGUUAUAUGAAAUGAUUCUACGAAAUGGUAAUAUGAGAUGGGUAUACAAAAUUGUUAUAUAAAUGAGUAUAUGAAAUGAUUAUAUGAAAAUAGUUAUAUGAAGUGAUUGUACGAAAUUUUUAUAUGGAUAGAUAUGUAAAGAGAGACAUUUGAAAUGAACACUUGAAAUGGAAAGAUGAAAUGUUAAACGAAUAAAUGUUGUAUGAAUAGUAUAUCAAAUGUGUAACACCCUUAACCCGUAUUCGACGUCGAAACAGGGUUUCGAGGCAUUACUAGAAUUUGCAGAUCACCUAAAAAAAAUUCAAUUAAAUACUUUCCGAUUCAAUGUAUCAUAUAAAUAAAUAUAUUACCAUUCAAUCAACAGCUUGGCACUUGUAUAAGCUGUAACGGUCCAAAUUUCAGUGAUAUCGGAACUGUGAUUUGAAAUCACUAAAUCUGACAUGUGAGUUUAGAUAUUAGUAAGUAAAUGUUAAGUGUGGUUUUAGAAAUAAUUUUGAAUUAAAUGAAAUUAUGUAGUAUAGGAAGUUGUAGAUAAAACAGAAUAAAAACGAGGUAUCGAGACCUCGAAUACAUAAAUCGAGCCAUAAAUAUUUUUAAAAAUAUUUAUGGAGUGUAAAUAAGUUAGUAUUAAGUUUUCGUUAGAAAAUUUUAAAGUUUGGAUAGUCAAUUAAUUGAAAAUGACUAAAUUGAAAAAGGUACAAAACUUGAUAAAAUGGUUAAAUGGCUCAAGUGUUAAAUGAGGGAGGACUUAAAAGGCAACUUAGCAUAAAGGGAAUGGAUGAGGCGGCAUAAGCAAGAAAAAAAAAUUUGGAAUCAGGUGAACUAAGGGUAAAAUGGUAAAUUUUACAAAAUUAAACAAAUAAACUGAAAUUGAAGAGGUUUCUAGGCCAUUCUUCUCAUAAUUUCGGCCAGACAGCCAUGGGAGAGAGCUUCUAAGCUGAUUUUGCACAAUUUCACUGCAUGUGAGUUUAUUUCUUUCCCUUUUCUUAUAUUUUUUGUAAUUUUAAGACUUUUGUAAUUAGGUCCAAUCAUCUAAUUCAUUAGUUUUUGAUUUGGUGGGUGAAAUUAGAAGUUACCCUGGCUGAGUAAUGGCAGUAUAUGAUGAAUUAUUAUGAAAUUGAAGUUCUAAUUUCAUAUUAAGGUUGUUUUAUUAAGUCAUUUUGAUAGAAAAUGGUAUUUAGGACCUAAUUGUGAAAAAGUUGUGAAUUAAAUGUUACUGUUGAAAUUCAGAAUAUCAAAGGUUGUGAAAUAAUUUAUAAUGAUAAAAUAAAAUUUUAAUUGAGAAAAAAAUUAGUUCAAUUGAUGGGUGAGAUGAGCAGGGACUAAAUUGUAAAAACUGUAAAUUUUGGGGUAAAAGUGUAAUUUUGAAAUUUGAACAGCAUAAAUUGUGAAGUGAAAUAGAAGUCAAAUAAAUGCUAAUGAGUAGAAAUACUUUAUAUUAUAGAUCAAGAAUCCAAAGAAGAACGAGAAAAAGAAAAAGUUGCGGAAUAGUCCCUAAAUUUCAAUAUCUUCUACAAAUCAGCCAGGUAAGUUCAUAUGUAAAUGUUGGUAACAUAGUUAUUAUUUUAAAUAUUUUCAUGUUAUUUAAAUGAUAUGAUAAUUAUUAUGAAAUAUUACUCGUGAUAAUUGUUUGAUAAUAUGUCAAAUUAUGUGAUAUACUUGGAAAAUGUGAAAUACUACCGAGUAUCGGUAUCAGCAUUCCGUAGGAGAUAAUUGAGACACAUGAUUGGGAAAAAGGUCCCGUUGAACCUUAGGAAUGGAUUAGGAUACAAGUGACAUGUCACUAGGAUAUUUGGGCAUCCGAACUCGUUGAGUUGAGUCCGAGUUCACUUAUGGAUGCGAAUGUCCGAACUCGUUGAGUUGAGUCCAAGUUCGAGAUAUGUAACUAGGCAUCCGAGCUCGUUAAGUUGAGUCCGAGUUCACUUAUGGAUGCGAACGCCCGAGCUCAUUGAGUUGAGUCCGAGCUCGCUUAUGGGUGGGUUACAUGGUAGCUUGGCUACAUAUGUGGCACUUAUGUGCAAACUUUCCAUGUAUCCGAAUUAUAUUCCGAUGUGUUUAACAGGUAAAAUUCUACUCAAAUGGAGGAAUACUAGAGAUGAAAGGGACGUAUUGGUAAGUGUCGUGAAAUGAAUACUUUGAACAGGUUUGUACUUAACCCUCGGGUUGAAAACUCGAUAUAACAACAAUAUGGUAAGAUGGUAAAUGAAAAUGUGAUAUGAAUGUCUCGGUGAUGAUUAUGAAAAUGAUAUUUUAUGUUUGCUUAUAUAGUUGUGUUACUUGCUAUUUGUAUGUGAACUUACUAAGCAUUUAUGCUUACUCCCUCCUUUUCAUUCCUUGUAGUUUUGACAAGCCAGCUCGGAAAUCAGGAACGGUCGGAGGCUCGCUCACACUAUCCAUGUAUCAUCUUGGUAUAACGGUUUGUAUAUUUUGAGCAUGGCAUGUAUAGCAUUAUAAUCAUUUUGUGUAUAUAGUCUUAUGAUAUGGUUAUUGAGUGGUAUGGAAAUGCUUGAUAAUGAUUAGCUGUUGGAAUGGCUAAUCAAGGACAUAUUUGGUGUUAUGUAUGCCUAAAUGCUAGUUAUUCCAUGGAAAUCAUGAAAUAGGUAAAAUUUACCAUAAAAUAGAUUAAGACAGCACCAGUGACGUGAGUUUGAAAAAUCAUUAAAAAUAGUAUAGAUAUAAUUAGAUGAUGAAUAAAAUAUGGAAUUAAAGAAUUAUGAGUCUAUUUUCAUAUGAAUGGAACAAAAUAGGUAUAUGAGUUAUAUUUUAUGAGAUGUUUAAAUUUUUGUGAAACAGGGCCAGAGCGAUUUCUGGAUCCCCUGUUCUGACUUUGGAAAUUCACCAUAAAUUUUAAAAAGAUAAUUAGAAGUCAUGAUUUAUAUGUACAGAUUCCUUAUUGAGUCUAGUUUUAUUAGAAACAAACAUCAUAGUCAUUGAAACUCUGUACAGGGAGAUAUCUGAUUCAUAAUACAUAGAGGUCAGAACAGUCAAACCCUGAAACAAGGGAUACUUUAACUAAUAAACUGUACUAAUUGACCUGACCAAAAAUUCUAAAAAAAAUUAGUAAAUAGAUAUAUGAGUUUAGUUUAAGGAAAAAUUUACAGAAUUGGAUUUCGAGUUUCAGAACUCGAGAUGUGAAUUUUUAAGUAACUAUGACGCAGUUGGACAGCUUGUCCGAAUUUGUUUAAGUGCUCAAAUAAGUUUAGUAAUGCCUCGUGCUCGACUCCGGCGACGGUCUCGGGUAAGGGGGCGUUACAUAAGCAUCAAACAACAACAUUGUUAGUAAACUAGUACAUAUUUUAUAUAAAUUCAACAUUGAUAUACUUAUUUUCUCGACAUGUCACACUUGAGUUUAAUAAUUGUCUUUACCUACAUAAUUUUCUUGUAUCAACAUAUCAAAGAUAAUCAUAUAUCUCUUACCGUUUCUUCAUAAGUACAUAUCAUUCAUUUCAUUAUAUCAAUAUUUCACGCUCCAUCAUUUUCAUAUAUUUUAUGUAUAUUUAUUCCGGUAAUAGUUUAUAUCAAACUUAACAUAAAUUAUAUUCCAUGUACUUAUACUUAUUUCGUUUAUCUAUCUUCAUAAUUAUUUCAUUCAACUAUUUUGUACAUAUAUUUCCAUAUGACCAGUUCUUGUAAACAUUUCACACAACCAUUUCAUAUAACCAUUCGCCAUCUGAUACAUAUUACCUGAAUAUCAAUUGUUCAACAGAUGUCAUACUGUCACCCACCCACGGUUUUAUUUAUCUUUGACAUGAUGCCAUAGUGUCUUUCAACUAUGGUCUUACUCAUUUUCUGUCAUGUUACCAUGGUAUCUUUCAACCAUGGUCUUAUUCUUUUCAUGUCAUGUUCCCAUGGUAUCUUUCAACCAUGGUCUUAUUCAUUUCAUGUCACGCUGCCAUGGUAUCUUUCAACUAUGGUCUUAUUCAUUUCUCGUCAUGUUGCCAUGGUAUCUUUCAACCAUGGUCUUAUUCUUUUCAUGUCACGUUGCCAUGAUAUCUUUCAACCAUGGUCUUACACAUUUCAUAUCAUGUUGCCAUGGUAUCUUUCAACCAUGAUCUUACAUAUUUCAUUUCAGAUAGCAGACUCUCGCGAACCUCAUCCUUACAGCGGGAUUACCAGUUCAGGCUAAAUCCCCUGUACUAUAAACUCAUAGAGUAUUGUCGGAAUUACCUGUCCGGGCUAAAUCCAUUUUACACAUAUUCUUCGGGAGGGCUAUAAUAGGAUAGGAUCACCCGUCCGGGCUAGAUCCUUUAUUACCGUCAAUUCCUUUUCAGAGAUCCAUCGAAUUUUCCUUUCACUCAACCGGGAUUUCUUUCCCUUUUUAUCAAAUAUAUCAAUGUUUCAUCAAUUUUCAUACAGAACAUUCAAAUCAUAUUCACAUCAAUAACAUACAUUUCAAGCAUUUAAGAAUAUACUUCAAGUUACACGAACUUACUGGUGAAAUUGCAGAAAUAUCAAGAUUCAAUGGCAUUUUAAUAAUUUACCAUUUUCCCAAUUUUUACCUGAUCUUAAAUUAAUAAUUUCAUUCAAUUUAUUAAUUUAAAUAAUAAAACAAUUCAUUCCCUUCAAUUUGGUAAUUUUUGAUAUUUUUACAAAAUUGCCUCCUGAAGUUUUUACUUUUAUUCAAUUUAGUCCCUAAGCCUAAAACAUGCAAAUUAGCCAUGCUAGCUGAAUAUUCAUAUAUAUUUUUCUCCUCCUCCUCUCCAUUCCACAUCCUUAAUGUAUAUAACACACUUGUAAGUAACAUUAUCUAUAAUUUUUAUUAUUUACUUUUAUGAAUAUUCAAGCUGUCCAUCUGUGUCAUAGUCACUAAGUUAUUUAUAUCUGGAGCUAUAGAGCUCCAAAUUAAGAUCCAAUAAUUUUACCUAAAACUAGACUCAUAUAUACUCUUACCAUAAAAUUUUCAGAAUUUUUUGUUUAGCCAAUAAGUACAGUUUAUUCUUUAAAGUUACCCCUAUUCUGCUGUUUGAUAGUUCUAACCCUUCUUCACUAAAAAUUAAUUAUCUUCUCGUACAUAAUUUUAAUGAUGUUUCCAUUUAUUUAUCUUGAAAAUAUACUCAUUAAAUAUUCUAAACAUAUAAAUUUAAGCCCAUAAUUAUUUUUCUCCAAUUUUUGAUGAUUUUCCAAAAUCAGAAUAGGGGAACCCGAAAUCAUUCUGACAUUGUCUCACAAAAUUUAUUAUAUCUCAUGAUUUAAAAUUCCAUUGCUUACAUAAUUUCUUCUAUAAGAAACUAGACUUAAUAAUAUUUAAUUUCAUAUUUUAUUCAUCCGAUAAUUCGAUUUCUAAAAUUUUUGGUAAUUUUUCAAAGUUAGACUACUGCUGUUGUCCAAAACUAUUUUAGUGUAAGAUAUUAAUUACUAUGUUUAUAACACCCUUAUUUUCUUUUUCUACAUUAUUUCUCAUCACUUUCUCUUAUUUUCUCUUCACUAACAUAUCAAGAACAUAGGACCAUAUGUAAGGAAACUCUGCAUUAACAUUAAUCCCAUGCUUUUUUCAAUAAUAUCAAACUUAAAAAUAUAUUGUAAUCAUGAUGUUCUUACCUUGUUCUAUUGAUUUCAAUCUUUAUCUUAAUUUUCUCUCUCCUCCAGCUUCCAUUUCUUAAAUCCAACUUGAUAUUCUAACUUCCCAUAGUCUCCUUAACAUUUUUCUCUCUUGGUAGCUAUGGAAAUUCUUUUGAUUUUUGGGUGAAAAUGGUAAAUUUUUGGUAAAAGGACCAAAUUGUAAAGAAAUGAAAACUUCUUUUCUUCUUCUUCUUCUCACGUUGGUUUUGCAUGGGAAAAAUGGAUGAGAAGUCCUCAUCUUUCUUUCAUUAUAUACUAAUAAAAUAAUAAUAAAAUAUCUUAUUAAAAUAUUAUUAAAAUAAUAUUUAUCUAAUUAAAUAAUUAUAAAAUAUCAAAAUAUCUCUAGCAUCAUUAUUACUUUCUUGAUUUCUCUCUCUUCCAAUUAACCAUUUUGCCAAUCUUUUAAAAUUCCAUUCUUGAGUCAUCAUUUAAUUUAGUAAAAUUGCAAUUUAGUCCCUCAUAGUUCUUCACCUAUUCAAUUUAGUCCUAAUUCAUCCAUUUUUCUUAGUUUCUAGAUCAUUCCACCCUUAAAAUAUUUACACUAUUGGUCCUUUAACUUUUUCAUAUUUACACUUUAACCCCUCAAAUUUUGAGUAUUUACUCUUGUGCAACAAAACUUUUCUCUCUUUCAACAAAACUUUUCUUAAAUUAAUAUAUCAUAAUGUACUUCCCAAUAUUGACAUAACUCAAAAUUUCCCUUUUUGUUACUUUAUUUUCUUAUUUUACUAUAUCAAGGAUAAUAUCUUACUGUAAAAAUUUUCGGGGUAUUACAAAAUGUGUUUACUAGUAUAUAUUUUAUGACAAAAUAAAGUUAUAAGUUUCGGAUUUGCGAAUUUACUAACCUUGUAAGACUUGUGAUAUGUAUAUGUUAAUAAUGAACUCAUGACCUUAUUUAUGAAUUUAAUUGCGAAAUGUUUAAGUUACGACCGUUACAGUAAGUUAAAUUUAUGUUCAAUACGAACUUACUAAGCUUUAUGCAAGCUUACCUCAUUUUUGGUUUUUCUUCUUUGUAAAUCGUCAAUUACGAGCCGCUGAUUACAUUGCUUUUGGAGAUUACACUAUCUGACAACUUAAUCGAUAACUAAUUGUUCACUUUGGUCCAUUAUAAGUGGCAUGUAAAUAGGGUUUUGAUAUAUAUAUGUUAUAAGCAUUAUGGAUAUAUUUUGUAUAUAUCAAUUGAAGUAUGAGAUGUGUUUAUUGAUGUGAAGCUUACUUAGUAUUGUGGUUGAUUGUGGUAUGAUGUGUUUUGAAUUGGUGAAAAAGUUUGGAAAUGCUUUGGCUUGGUGCUUAAGAAAUGGUUGAUGAAGUGGCUUGCAUUAGGGGUCAUAUUUGAUGCACACGGCCUGAGACAUGGGCUAUCACACUGCUGUGUGCUACAUACAAUCACCCCACAUGAUUGUGUGUCUUAUUGACUUUUAGGUGCGGGUUUGACCCGCACGAUCACAUGUUGUUACACGGUUUGGAGACACGGUCGUGUGACCUUAUUUUCAAACUGUACAUGAUUUGGCCAUAUAGUCAUGUGACCCUGUUUUCAAAUUUUCUACAAUUUCUGUUUUACUUCAAAUUAAUCCCUAAUUGUUUCCAAAUUGAUUUUUAGGUUCCAUAAGCUCGAAAUAAGGCCUAAAAUUGUAUAUAUGCUAUGAAUGAUGAUUGAUUUUGAAUAUUGAUAUUUAAAUUAAUAAUUGAAUGGUUUUAUGUUGUCACUUAAUUUGAUAAUAGUUUGUAACCUUAAUCCGCUGACGGAGACGAGUUAGGGGUGUUACACAUAAUUUAUUCUUAAUUUAUUCUUUAAACAAAUAGUUAAUUAUGAUCAAAUGAUAUUAGUUAUGAACAAAUUUGAGGUAUGUAUAAAUGUGACUACUUGAUUCGAUUGAGUUAUGUCGAAUUAUAUAAAUACUAUUUAUGAUACAAGGAGAUUUAGUAAUAAACGAUAAAGAAUAAAGCCUUAUUACACAUUACUUCGAUAAUAUACCAAUGAACACUAGGUGCAUAUUACUUUGGACGUACCGAUAAACAUUGGGUGUAUAUAUAUUUAGCACUGCACGUAUAUUAUUUCGGUAGUUCUCCCUACAAAAUUAAGAAAAUAAAGUGUCGUAUCUAUAAACCUAGCUUUUGCUAAUUAUCUCCCUACAAACACACAACAGUUACUAAAAAUCACUAAAUCUUGCACCAACUCCCUGGCAACAGUGCUAACAACUUGACCAACUCCUUACUGCCAUCGUGAAUGACGAGAGGAAAUCAACACUAAAAAUAACAACUAAAUAAAAUACUAAGUGUGGUCUACAAGUGUGACAAGUCAGUCGUAAUAUUUGUAGUGUUACAAUAAAAUACUGAAAUAUUCCAAGAAUCGAACCCAAAGAAGUCAACGAUUCAAUGAUUUCUAUUCAAUCAAGCAUGCAAAAAAAGGAGUCCAGCUAGCUACUCACUAAUGUUUAUAUUACAGAAAAACAUAAUUUAAAGAUUAAUUAAGCUAAUUAAUUACCUAAAACAAAAAAUGACUAAAUUGUAAAUAAAGGAAAAUAUAAAACUACCAAAUACAAUAACCUUUGAACUAGGGAUCUAAAUCUCUAACACUCCUAAAUUUGUUCUAUUUUACCUUUCAGUCUCAACUUUACCAAAUUAGACAAAUUAGUCCGGUUUAUCUCUCGACCUCAUCCGACUAACCCAGGACUAAUAAAUUGGUGCCCAAUAAAAUUUCCUCUCGAUAUCACUUAUCUUGAUAUUCCCUUAGGGGCAUCAAUCCUAAGUUUUGAAGUUCAAUUGUUUUAGUCUAAUUUUUACGAUUUAGUCCAUGCAUCAAAGACUAACUAAACAACACUUUCUUCAACUAACCACCCUAAGUUUUAGCUACUAAUAUUCAUAUAUGAACCAGCAAAAACCAAAUAUUCAAACAACAUAUACAUCAAGUAAACUCAAAGGAAAUAUAAUAAAAACGUGAACAUUCUUGUAAAGACUUGAAGAAAACACAAAUGACAACAAUGGUAAGGAAGAAAAAACAUAAAAGAUCAUAUUUUUAUCUAAGAAAUUGGAAAUGAAAUUAAACUAUAUUAAAAGCUUUGGAUGGAAAUGAAAAUACAAUGUAAAGUUAAAGGAUUUAAAGAUAAACAACACUUAGCUAUAGUAAAAACUAACUUAACUAACUAAGAAAAUACAAGGAAAAUAAAGAAGUUGUAGAAAGCUAAAUCCUACAGCUAACCUAAACUAAAAGAUGAAAGAAAAAACUUAAAACUAUGAAGCUUUCUAACCUAAACUACAACUCUCUUUGUUCCUAGCCAAAAAUGGCUUUUAAUAGCUGAUUACAACCCAAAUUUUAGUGCCAAAAUGCCCUUGGACGUUGUAUUUUGAUUGGUUUUGGUGUUGGACAAAAACUACCUCUACAGUCAUUUUUCUCCACGUCAAGCAGCGGUAUUGCGAUACCCACAACAGUCUUGAAAUGGGGGGUCCUUUGGGAGUUGGAUAUCACGAUACCCUUACUUGGAUAUCGCGGUAUCACUAUGAAAAACCUCAAUCCUCUUCAAUUCAGCACUAUUAAGGGUACCAUGACUUUCAUGCUUUGAUAUCGCGAUACCCCCUUCUAGAUGAUGUUUUCACUCACAUUCAGGCCUCAAAUGACUCCCUACAAGACUUAAUCAACCAUUAGGAUCCCUAUGGCACAAUUGGCCAAUUCGAGUCUCAAAAGUAGCAUAAAAUGCACUAAUUCACUUAUCAAAGCAAAGAACUAAAACUAAGUAAAAACACGACAAAAACAUAUACAUUGCUCGAGAAUAAGCUCAUUAAGUGUAAUGGAGAGCCUAAUUUGACAUAUCAAAUUACGGAAGAUCAAAUAGUUUGAUAUUUAUUUAUCAUGUAUAAACAUUCUUAUCAUAUUAUAUAAGCACCAUUGAGCUCUUUUGCUCAACAUGCGGAUUAUUUGUUUUCGUGCAUAGGUGGCGAUUAGGUUUUGGAAUGAUCGACGAGAGCCAACAGCAUCCAAAUCUCACAUCUCGACUCAACUAAAUCUUUGUAAAGUUUCAUUAUGUUUGUGAUUUAUAAUGGCAUGUACCUAAAAAUUAGGGGUCUUAUAAGGUUUUUUUAAUGGUAUGAAUUGUUGAUGAUAUGUUUUUGGAUGCCAAGUUGUUGGUUGAUAAUUGAGUGUUAUAUGGUUUCAUAGGCAUGAUUUGGCAUCCUUAUGGCUUGAAGUAAAAUUGCAUUUUGGCAUUUUUACCAUUUGGCCUCGAGACACUUAGUUGAAUUUUGGUAGUUUAGUUUGGAUUCGAGUCCUAACUCUGUGGUUGACCUCACAUAACUCCAAGAAUAUUUUGUAGGACAUCUGUAAUGAUUGAUUAUACUUACAAUUGAAAAUGCUUUUAAAUUAUGUCAUGUAUAUAUGGUUAAUUAUUCCAUAAAUGAUAUGAGUUGCUUCGACAAAGCAAUGUGACAUCACGCAUUCAAUUCUAAUGAUCGGAUUAGGUGUGGGGUGCCAGAAUGCAUAUCAAAAUUCACUCACCUAAAUUCAUCACUAACAAACUAUGCAAGUAACUGCUCAUUAUUUAUUAUGCAUUUAAAACUAAGUAUUUAUCAGCGACAUCAAAGAGGCAAGCAUGCCAAAUAGUAAAAAUUUAUUUUUAGUUCUUUUAAAAAUUUAGAAUUUUUAAAUUAAUAUAAUGGUUACGUUGCACUUUGACCCCUUCUAAGAUAAUAAAUUUCUUUAUAAUUCCUUUAAAAUUUACAAAUGAAAUGUUAAUACAAUAAUAAAAUUAUAUUUUAAUAUUCUUUCAAAAAUAUAAGUCAAAUUGAUUUUGUAAAAUAAAUUUCUGAAUUCGUCUCGUCUUUGGUGUAAAUACAUUAUUAGUUUAGCUUGAAGAGAACUCCUUUCACAAUGAAAUGAUAAAAUACUGUAGCAACAAUAACUUUACAAAUAGGAAGACUAUGUUCUUAUUUUUACAUUUGUAGAAAUACAAGGGCCAUAAAAUACUGUAGCAACAUUGGUUUGACUUUAUUUAGGAGCUUUAAUUUCAAAUGAGAAGAUUUUAAAUUUGUAAAUUGGUUAAUAUCACGUUUUUUUUUUUUUUUACAUUUUUAUGCAAUGGCCAUUUUUAUUUUGUUCAUUUUUUAAAAAGAAUAAUUAAUUGAAAAAUAUAUUAAUCAUUUAAAUAUUUUAAAAAGGUUAUAAUAUUUCUUAGUAAAACAAUAAAUUAAUAUUAUAAUAUUACAAUAUUUAUUUCUUUAAAUCAAAUACAUUAAUAUUAUUACCAUACUUUUAUUCCACCUAACUAAACUAAAAUUAUACAUAUUUAAUUAAUUUCUAUUCCUACAAAAUAAUAAUUGAUUAUAACUUUAUUCUAUUUUAUCGAAUCCAAUAUGGUGCACGUAAUACUAUUACAAUUAUAUAAUUAAAUAAUUAAUAGAAUAUAUUUAUAUAAUUUACAACUACUAAAUUUUAAAUAAAAAUAUCUAUUAAAAAAAUUACUUCUUAUGUAUAUAUUUAUCGAAUUCCUUUUUCAUCCCAAAAGGAAAAAAUCACCAUUUCAAACAAAACGCAUAAGUUUUAUUUUAUUUAUUGUUCAAGGUCUCUCCUUAAAAAGAAAAAAAAAAUCGAAAUCCUGAUCGUCCUUAUCAAAAUCAGACCCAAACCUCAAGUUUUAGAAACCCUAGCCAUUUCCGCUCUUUCAUUCUCUGCAAAAUCAUUCCCUCUUCAAACACUCUCUCUCUUUUUCAAUUGAGCCAUCUGAUCGCUCUCUGUGUCACCAUUUUCCAGAACCUUGAACGCCGCCAUUUGCCCGCUGCGAUCUCUGCCUUUUAGAUUCUAUCAAUUUUCACAGUCUCGAUGGCUGACGGAAAACUCGAUCUACCUGAUGAUCUCAUACCCUCAAAAAUCUGCUCUGACCACUUCCCUAAAGGUAUUAAUACAUUUCCUUUUUUAUUCGUUUUAGUUUUCAUUCUCCCGUUUUUUAUACUACAACUUUUUACUUUUUGGAUUCCGAUCGCAGUGGUUUCACAUUUUAAUUCAAUCCUCACGUUUGUCUCAAAUUUUAUCCAUUUACGAAGUUUUUCAUUAUUUGACUUUGAAUAGUUUAAUUUAUUAAUUCUAAAUUUCAGAUUGCGUCGAUGAUUAUUAUCCCCUAAGAUCUCGUUCAAUUUUGUUUAAAUUCUUUCUGUUACGGCGUAUUAAUUUAAUGGUUUUCGCCAGAAAGUAAAAAAAAAAAAGGAAAUUCACGAUUGUUUCUAUGUAAAAUUAUAUCAGCUCAAAUCGCUCCUUUCAAAUUCUCCGGUGAUUAGAGAAAAUCACUUUAGUUACUUCUCAAAAUUAUUGGCAAAUUUUACCUGACGACCCUGAAGUUGAUAUAUCGUACUACAGCAUGUUUUAUUCUAAUUAUACGGAAAGAUUAUUCAAAGAAACGUUCAUCUGUUACAAUUAGGAAACUUGGCAGUUCAAUCUCAAGGCAUUUUUUUGUUUUAAGGACCGCCUGAAAACAAGCUUGAAAAUUGAGGUUAGACAGUUUCUACAGCUUCACCUAUGCGGUACUUAUCCUAGUUUCUGUUAUUGUUAGAUGAAGCUUGGGAUAGGAACUUGGAGGAGAAAGGACUGACCGGGCUACUUGAUGACAACAAAGGUAAUAAUAUUUAUCUUAAUGUUGAAACCUUGUAUUUUUAAAAUCACAGGAAGCUCUUUUCUUGCAAGAGUUUAACCUUCUUCUUUUUUUCUUUUUUUUUAACUUUUGUGACCAAUAGAUCAACCAACUUCGGAGAGCAGCAUACCUCUGUCCCCACAGUGGCUUUACUCUAAAGUAGCCGAAGCAAAGACGUUAACUGUUGGAGCAUCUGGGGUAUGGCACUUUUAUUUCUCUUACCAAAUGUUUUAAGGGUGCUGGUUGCCAUAUGGGUGUUUAAUUUGUUGGUUUCUAGUUUCAUUUACUUUUCUGUAGUGGAAGUAUGGGUAAGUAGUGUAUAUGGUUUCAAAAAAAAAGUAGCUUGAUUAGAUUUGAAGAAAUUAUUCUUAUUUUCUUGGUUUAUUAUGCUCAUCACAAAUAUAUAUUUGAUUUAGAGCUUGUGGCUAUUUUUCAUUUUGGUUUGUAUUGUUUCAGUUUUUUAAUUUGUUAACUCUUAACAGGAUACAAAAACUCCGAAUUUGUUGCCUCAUGGAACCCCUGGCGACCCGAAUCUGAAAGAUAGUUGGCGUUUAGAUAGUUCUCAGGACAAGAAAGAAUGGAGGAGGACUGCACCUGAUCUUGAAAGCAGCCGACACUGGCGUGAAGAGGAGAGGGAAACAGGCUUACUUGGUCGAAGAGAUCGCAGAAAAGAAGACCGUCGCACUGAUAUUUCUUCAACAAUGGAUGUUCCUGAAAAUAGGAUUUUGUUGUCUGCAGAACGACGUCAAGAUGUUAGUAGUCGUAGUUCAGGGCAUGAAUCUCGAAGGGACAACAGGUGGUCUUCGAGAUGGGGUCUUGAAGACAAAGAAAAGGAUUCUCGAAAUGAGAAGAGGACAGAUGUUAAGAAGGAAGAUGCCCCUUCUGACAAACAAGCACUUGCCAGUGGUGGGCGCACAGCUUCUGAGCGCGAGAACGAUUCUCGUGAUAAAUGGAGGCCACGUCAUCGGUUGGAAGUUCAUGCAGGUGGGUCUGCUUCUUAUCGCAGUGCUCCAGGUUUUGGUUUGGAGAGGGGGCGAGUGGAGAGAUCAAAUGUGGGUUUUGCAGCAGGACGAGGAAGGCCAAAUUCCAAUGCAAGCCUACAAAUUGGGAGGCCACAAUCUGCUUCUGUUAUUGGAGCUCUUCCUGUGGAUAAAAACAUGACCCUUAAUGCAUAUUCCUACCCAAGAGGAAAACUCCUUGACAUUUACCGCAAACAAAGGACUGCUCCAAAUUUUGACAACCUACCUGAUGAGAUGGAUCAUUUAUCCACAGUAACACAAAAAGAAAUUGUUGUGCCUUUGGCAUUUGUUCCGCCUGAUGCAGAGGAAGAGGUCUGAACCUUCUAGUUUGAUUUAUAGAAGAAGAAUGUACUCAUCUUUAUCCUUCUAUAUGGUUGCCUAAAAUCUUCUUGCGUGAUUCUUACAGGCUGUCCUUGGAGAUAUAUGGAAAGGAAAAACAAUAAGCAGUGAAGUGGUCUACAACUCAUUUAUGGAUGCAAGUAGGGAUCAAAUGAUAGCAUUGCUUCUAGUGUUUCAUUUAUGUUGUAACUUACUUACCUAGUAAAUAAUUAAGAUACCUUUGACAGGAUAAGUUAUUUGCCCUGUGAUUUCAGGUGAAGGAAAAGAGUGUUUCUCAGUUAACAUGAAGGAUAGUGUUGAACCUGGUGAGAAGGCUGCUGUAAACAAUAAUUUUGAGGGGAGUCAUGCUGAGACAUUUUAUGUGUCAGAUUCACAGAUGAUUAUGAGCAAGGGUAGGAAACUUUCGAUUUUAGUUGUUGGCUAUCAGCAGUCCGUUAAGGAUAAUAUUAAUGAAAUUUUUUGUUUGUCAUUACAGAAAUGAAUAGUUCAAAAGAAGAAGGACAGAGAUGCAUGCCACCAUCUGAUGUAGAUGUAACCAAUGCUUUGGGGUUAGAUAGGGAGAUGGGUGGUUCCACAAAUUACAUGGAUGAAUUAAAAUCUUUUGAUAAUCGGCAAGUAGCUGAUUUGAAAAUGCAAAAGGACUCUAAUGUGAAGGACAACGGAUCAUCCAUGAAAUUUGGAGUGGGCGAGCUUCCGGAAGACUCAAGUUCUCUGUUUGGUUUUUCGUCACUACAGCCUAGAGUCGGCUGUAACCCGAUAAGUGUUGAGGGCAAUAUUGCUGCACAUUCUCUGGAAAGUGCUAUCCCUCCUGAGGAUAUGAGCCUGUGUUAUCUUGAUCCUCAAGGGGUAAUUCAGGGACCGUAUUUGGGGAUUGACAUAAUUUCAUGGUUUGAGCUAGGUUAUUUUGGUACAGAUUUACCUGUUCGAUUGGCAAAUGCUCCUGACGGGUCGCCUUUCCAAGAACUUGGUGAAGUCAUGCCUCACCUAAGAAUGAAUCCUGGUUCAGCCUCCAGUGUUAGUGCAGUUGCCAGAAUGCGAGUACCUGAUCAUUUUGAAGGGAGCUUGGAAGACCCCAUAUCUUCUUCUGCUUCUGCUCCUGCUCAGGGAUCUGCCAUUGGACGUGAGCUGCAGCAAUCUUUGUCUCCUUUUGAGGCAUCUGGUACUAACUUUCAGUUAAGAGGGCCUUCUCAAAGUUACCAUUCUGAGCACCAAUUUUAUGAAGAUCCAAACAUCCAUAAUUUUGCUGUUGCUCAAGCUGAUGGUAUGUUUAAUGGGUUGCACCUACUGUUUAUAUUGUUAACAAUUGUGUCUGUUAAUGAUGCCUGCCUUUCCAUGUGUGAUGCAGAAAUCGUUUUUUCAGGAAGGCCUGGAAGUGCUGGUGCUGACCCUUUGAAAGUUUCUGCUGAGAUGCAAGAUCCUUUGCGUCAUCCUGCAAGUCAUUUAUCCAUUGCAAAUGAAUUUUCAAAAACCAAUGCAUCUCAUCGAGGUGAUGAGUUGCUCCCAGAGGCUUGGUCUGAUGAUCAUAGAAGAAAUGCUGUGUUUAAUCCUAACAUUCAUCUAGGCACUACUGGUGCUAGGCCAUUAUCUCACAGGGAGCAAGAACACAAUGGUUUGGACCUGGUACAGCACUUAAUGUCACAAAAGUUUCCCAAUGAACCUCUUCAAGAGAAAAACAAUUUCUUUCAUGCCCUUCCACAUUCGACUGGAUUUGGUGUGGAGCACAUCCAUAGUUUUGAUCUGAUGCAGAGCAAGAAUCUCAAUCAUCAGCAGUCAGUCCAUCAUUCAGCUCCCCAUAUGGAACAUCUUUUGGAACUUCAAUUUGAACAGCAGCGGCAGUUGGAACUACAACGGCAGCAGCAUCAGUUGGAGCUUCAGAGGCAGCAGCAGUUGGAGCAUCAGUGGCAGCAGCAGUUGGAGCUUCAGCAGCAUCAACGUCUGUUGGAGCUUCAGCGGCAGCAGCAGUUGGAACUUCAGCAGCAUCAACGGCAGUUGGAACUUCAGCGGCAGCAGGAGCUUCGUCACCAUCAAAUUGAACUGUUGCAGCAGUUGCAACAACAACAUCUGCAGCAGCAGAAUUCUCAAGCUCAACAUAUUCUUCUUGAUCAAUUGCUGCAGCAUCAGAUUUCUGAUCCUGGCUAUGGUCAGGAGGUAUUUGAUGCUGCUAGAGACAUCCAACUUGAUCAGGUUCAGUUUCAAAGGCAUCUUCUAAGUGAAUUGCAGAAUAAUUCUCAAGCAUCAAGGCACCUGGAUCCAUCACUGGAGCAGAUCAUCCAAGCAAAGAUUAACCAGAGUGCAGUCCAAGGGCAACAGGCUGAUU